rnacentral:tRNA from 1 species
UGGCUGGGGUACUAGGAUUCGAACCUAGGAGUGGCGAGAUCAAAACCCGCUGCCUUACCGCUUGGCUAUACCCCA